AUGCAAGAGGUUGUUUCCACGGCUUGAACCCGUGACCUCCUGGUCACAUGACAACAACUUUACCAGUUACGCUAAGGCUCCCCUUCUACUGUGGUCUAGUGAGAAGAGGAUUUAUUGUAGCAGUUUGAGGUGGAUUUUAGUGCUAUUUUACUCUUUCUGCUAUGAUGGAAAGAUGGAUGGGGAAAUUCAAGUUUUAGAAUUGAUGGCUGAUGAGAAAAUUAGAUACCUAUUUGAUCAUUUGUGUACAGUUGUGCGAUUUCGUGUUUCCUGGGCAUUGGAAAGGCUGAGCUCGAAGUUGCAUUUUCUGCGAAUGCUGUUAAUUCAGGUGCGUCUUUUUAUUAUCAAGCAGUGUGAUCCUGUUCUUAAUAUAUUUCUUCUUGACAAGAUUACAUAAUGGAGAAUAGUGAGAGAAUGCAGAAUGCAUAAUGCAAACAAGCUGACAUGGGCAAAUAUUUAACUCAUGUGAAUUUUGUGCCUUUCUCUUGGUCUCACUGGCAUACAUUUUGAAUGCUGUUAGUGAGCAGUGUGGUAAGAAUUUUGUCAUCGGUGUUCCUAUUGGUAGUGAACAGUAGUCAAAGAUGACCUGUAUGUAAGGAUUCAUUUAUUAAUUUUUUGUCUUAGUUCUUUUUAGGACUACAUCAUAUAUUACCCGAUUGGAGCAGUUCUGAAAUUUCUGUGCAAAAGUAUAUUUUGAUCUUGUGUUUACUCGGUUCAAGUUCAUUGAGCAUGGAGGUCUAAAACUUUGAAAGACUUUCAUCAAUGUUGGAACAAGAUAAUCGUUAUUCUUGUUUGAUCGUUUAGAGUCUUUCAUCAACUGGUCAUGAAAGAUUUAAUUGUAUUCUCCAUGUAUGUGUUUAUAUUUGUGCUUUCACUUGUUGACAUACAAAAGAACAAAAAAAAAUCUAAAUACCUUUUGUUUGAAGAACUUCCAAAGCACCAGUUCAUUCAUAAGAGGAGUUGCUUGUAAUCUUUUAAGGUUUUUGCCCAUGUGAUGUCGUUUUCCCAUCUCCUGUCACUUUUCCUCUCACCUCAAAAUGGUGACUUCAGGGUUUUAGCUUAUGCAAUUUCUCUUGGGUCAAGUUGAGUGGGUUGGGCUACGACCCAUUCUUUAGCCCAUCUGGAUCCAAGCCUUCUUAGCCCAAGUAGAUUUUUGGUGGUUCGGUCAGACCCAUUUAUUGACCGAACCCAUUUUAACUUUUGCCCAAAUUUGACGCACUGCAGAAUCACAAAUCAGAUUUGACACAUGUUUUUGAAUUUGUUUGAAGUUAAAUGGUGCAUGACAGAAUCUCCUAAAGAGCUGCUACUUUGUUGGAGUAAAAGAAGACUACAUAAAGACGAUAAAAAGUUGGGGAACGCUAUACCGACGACUAUAUGGUGGACUGUGGAAGGAGAGAUAUCAAGAUACUUUGAAGGGAAAAAGGAAAAUAUCUGUACCCUAUAGAUGUUUAGCUCUCUUAGCGUUUUGGUGUAAAAAUGAAAAUGUAAAGUAGUCAGGAUGGUUGUUUUCCUUGUAUCUUUUUUUUUGGUAAUUAAAACAUUUUAUUACCAAUGAGAAUAUUUACAGCUAACAAAAGAAAAUAGACCCUACAUCACUGGACAUUGCGUCCCCAGUGUUGUAGCAGUCUCCACUCUUCUAGCUACCUAACAUCAGAUCCUCCAUUUUAGUUAGCCUAAAAGUUCAGCUAGUGCACAACUCCUCCUACUUACUCUAACUACCACUCCAAUCCCAGUUGUCAAGGGUAAAAAUUCAAUUCUUUAGUCUCCGAGCUAGUUUUGGUUUCCUACUUCCUCUAUAGUGUAACUCCUAGAUGAUUAGCCUCACGAUCGCUGCAGCAGGUCUGGUCAUAGCGGCGAACACUCUGUUGUUCCUUUCUUGCCACACAUAAUAAAUCCCACCAGCCUCUGAAUAUCUCAGCUUUGGCAUCCUUCCCUUGCAAUGUGUCAUAGCCCAGCCAAGUUCAGCCUCCUACUCUAGUGCUUGUUUAUUCAGUCCUUGUCAUCUGAGUAGUCUCUCCCAUAUCUCAGCUGCAACAUCACAUUUGAAGAAGAAGAACAACAACAACAAUAAACCCAACUUAAUCCCAUACGUGAGGUUUGGGGAGGGUAGUGUGUACGCAGCCUUACCCCUACCCUAUAAAGGCAGAGAGGCUGUUUCCGAUAGACAACAUCACAUUUGAAGAACAAAUGGGAUAUACUCUGCUGUGCAAUACCACACAAGGGACAUGUUUGAUGAGUAAGAAUUCCCCAUUUAUGUAGUCUGUCCUUGGUGUAUAGCCUCCCAUGUGCCACCAAUCUUACAAUGAACAACCACUUUGGCGAGCCAUAGUUAUUGCAAACAAGCCUUCUCCAACUGACUUUUGUGAAUGUUCCUAGCAUCUUCUGGUAUAUUUUCUUGAUAGGAAAUUCUGCCAUGUUUUGCAUCUCAGUGAAAGUGAUCCCAGCUUCCUCAAUGUACUUAUUUGCUUUGAAAAUUUCUGUACCAUCCAAGAAGCUUGAUUAGUGUUGGCCUCCCAUAUUGCUCUCCCUUUCCCAUAGUGAGCAUGAAUCCACUAUAUGAUGGAGGGAUUGAAAAAGCACCGAUUGUCAGCCGCUAUUUCUGUUUGUUUGCCUUAAUAUUUUUUUUUUAUUGUUUAACACAUCAUGCCCCUGAGUUGGUGAGCUGUAGUGUGCUUUAAACGUUUGUUCUACUCCAGAAAGCUUCAAUCUUUCUGAGGAAGAAAAAGCACUGCCUCUAAAACUCUUCAAUUGGAGGCUGCUUCAAUUCAGAGAUCCGGAGAACAGAUUCAAUUGAUGGAAGAAACAGUGGAGAAAUUUUCAAAAGAUGGUGGUGAUAUACUUACUCUAUCUCUUUACCAGAUGGAUUUGGAUAGAACCCUGUUUCUACUAAGAUCAUACUUACGAACCCUCCCCAAAAGAUUGAAAACUAUGCAUUUCACAUACAAAAGCUACCGAGUUGGGAAUCGUAUAUGUUAACAAGAAAAGAAAUUUGCUGACAGGUGUAUUGACGACAUGGAGCAACAUCUAAAUUAAUCUGUUCUUUAAAAAUUGCCUCAUGGUUUCAAGUCUCAUUCGAAGCAAUCUUCACUAAAGUCUGGCAGAUGACAUGGGUAGACUUCCAGUUUUCCCUGCAACUUGAUUGAAAUAAAUUUUGUUCAAUUCUCUUCUCCAACCACCUUGAUAUGCAUCUGUGUAUGCAUGUUUGGGUUUAUCCAUCUCCUUGUUGAGCUAAGAGAGUUCCCAGGAUCUGUGCCAAAAAAAAAAUGAAAAAGCAUGUUUAUAUAAUAAAAGAUCUAAAUGAUCUAAAUUGUCUAUGAAUACGAGGGUGCAACAAUUAUAAAUGCUCUAAAAAAUGAGCAAAAUCUGCAAUCUGAUUGUGAGUUUAGUAGAAGGCAUGAAAUUGUUGAGCGACUUUCUGCAACAUUCUAAUUGUCUCUGAUGUUCUCUAGUGUACUAUUACAAUUUGAAAAGUUAGUAGAAAUGAACUACUACACUACAGCUCCAA